AUACGUAGGGGGCGAGCGUUGUCCGGAAUGAUUGGGCGUAAAGGGCGCGUAGGCGGCCCGGUAAGUCUGGAGUGAAAGUCCUGUUUUUAAGAUGGGAAUUGCUUUGGGUACUGUCGGGCUUGAGUGCAGGAGAGGUAAGUGGAAUUCCCAGUGUAGCGGUGAAAUGCGUAGAGAUUGGGAGGAACACCAGUGGCGAAGGCGACUUACUGGACUGUAACUGACGCUGAGGCGCGAAAGUGUGGGGAGCAAACAGGAUUAGAUACCCUGGUAGUCCACACUGUAAACGAUGAAUGCUAGGUGUAGGGGGUAUCGACCCCUUCUGUGCCGCAGUCAACACAAUAAGCAUUCCGCCUGGGGAGUACGGCCGCAAGGUUGAAACUCAAAGGAAUUGACGGG
rnacentral:rRNA from 1 species